rnacentral:rRNA from 1 species
GACGUAGGGGGCGAGCGUUGUCCGGAUUUAUUGGGCGUAAAGAGCUCGUAGGCGGCUCAGUAAGUCGGGUGUGAAAUCCCCAGGCUUAACCUGGGAACUGCAUUCGAGACUGCAUUGCUAGAGUAUGGGAGAGGGAAGUGGAAUUUCCGGUGUAGCGGUGAAAUGCGUAGAUAUCGGAAGGAACAUCAGUGGCGAAAGCGACUUCCUGGACCAAUACUGACGCUCAUGUGCGAAAGCGUGGGGAGCAAACAGG